AGAGUUUGAUCAUGGCUCAGGACGAACGCUGGCGGUGCGCCUCAUACAUGCAAGUGGAGCGACGGACCAGGGCUUUGCCCUGGGGCCAAGCCGCGAACGGGUGAGUAACACGUGGGUAACCUGCCCCGAUGACCGGGACAACCCGAGGAAACUCAGGCUAAUACCGGAUAUGUUCUUCGCGCUCAAGCGCGACGAGCAAAGGAAGCUUCGGCCUCCGCUUCGGGAGGGGCCCGCGGCCCAUUAGCUUGUUGGUGAGGUAACGGCUCACCAAGGCAACGAUGGGUGGCUGGUCUAAGAGGACGGUCAGCCACACUGGGACUGAGACACGGCCCAGACUCCUACGGGAGGCAGCAGUAGGGAAUCUUGCGCAAUGCGCGAAAGCGUGACGCAGCGACGCCGCGUGGGGGAAGAAGGCCUUCGGGUUGUAAACCCCUUUCAGGAGGGACGAAGGUGCGGCGGCGAACAGCCGUCCGUACUGACGGUACCUCCAGAAGAAGCCCGGCUAACUACGUGCCAGCAGCCGCGGUA
rnacentral:rRNA from 1 species